rnacentral:ncRNA from 1 species
GUUUGGUCCUGACCUUAGAGUCAAUUAUUACUUAGUUUAUACAUGCAAGUCUCCGCACCCCUGUGAGAACGCCCUUAAACCCCUUUAAGGGGCAAGGAGCUGGUAUCAGGCACAAAAUUUAGCCCAAGACACCUAGCUAUGCCACACCCACAAGGGAUAUCAGCAGUAAUUAACAUUGAGCAUGAGCGACAGCUCGACUCAGCUAAAGUAAAAAGAGCCGGCUAAUCUGGUGCCAGCCGCCGCGGUUACACCACGUGGCUCAAACUGACCCUUUUCGGCGUAAAGCGUGAUUUAAGAGAUUUUUUUUGGUGUUAAAAAAGUACUAAGCUGUGACACGCUUGUCCUCAAGAAAAUCAAAAACGAAAGUUACACCAAUCCAGCCGACUUGAACUCACGACAGUUGGGGAACAAACUGGGAUUAGAUACCCCACUAUGCCCAACCGUAAACUUUAACCUACAGCCCAAUCGCCUGGGGACUACGAGCCAAGCUUAAAACCCAAAGGACUUGACGGUACCCCAAAUCCACCUAGAGGAGCCUGUCCUAUAAUCGAUAACCCCCGUUUAACCUCACCACUCCUUGUCAAUCAGCCUGUAUACCUCCGUCGCCAGCUUACCGCGUGAGCGCUACCGAGUGAGCUUAAUGCCCGCACGCCAACACGUCAGGUCAAGGUGCAGCUAAUGCAGUGGAAAGAGAUGGGCUACACUUUCUAACAUAGAAAAAACGAAAGACUACCUAUGAAAUCUAGUCGGAAGGAGGAUUUAGCAGUAAAAAGAAAGCAGAGCGUUCUUUUUAAUUUGGCA